rnacentral:misc_RNA from 1 species
CUGCGAGUUCGCGGGAGAGUAAGUUAUUGCCAGGGUUUUUGUUUUAUACUUUAAACAUUGAUUUUAUUUUUUAUGUUUUUAGAUGUUCAUGUUUUUGAAUGUUUUAUUCAAAUAAUAUAAAAAAUAAAAUAUAUAUUGACAUGGAUUAAACAAAGAUAUAUAUUAUUCUAUGUUGCAUAAACAAAUUGGCAAAAUAGAGAUGGAAGAUAAAAAUAUGGUCAAAGUAAUAAGAGUCUAUGGUGAAUGCCUAGGA